rnacentral:rRNA from 1 species
AUUGAACGCUGGCGGCAUGCCUUACACAUGCAAGUCGAACGGCAGCACGGGUGCUUGCACCUGGUGGCGAGUGGCGAACGGGUGAGUAAUACGUCGGAACAUGUCCUGUAUUGGGGGAUAGCCCGUCGAAAGCCGGAUUAAUACCGCAUACGAUCUACUGAUGAAAGCGGGGGACCUUCGGUCCUCGCGCUAUGGGGUUGGCCGAUGGCUGAUUAGCUAGUUGUUGGGGUAAAGGCCUACCAAGGCGACGAUCAGUAGCUGGUCUGAGAGGACGACCAGCCACACUGGGACUGAGACACGGCCCAGACUCCUACGGGAGGCAGCAGUGGGGAAUUUUGGACAAUGGGCGAAAGCCUGAUCCAGCAAUGCCGCGUGUGUGAAGAAGGCCUUCGGGUUGUAAAGCACUUUUGUCCGGAAAGAAAUCCUUGGCCCUAAUACGGUCGGGGGAUGACGGUACCGGAAGAAUAAGCACCGGCUAACUACGUG